CCCUUAGAUGUUCUGGGCCGCACGCGCGCUACACUGAUGCAUUCAACAAGCCUAGCCUUGACCGAGAGGUCCGGGUAAUCUUUGAAACUGCAUCGUGAUGGGGCUAGAUUAUUGCAAUUAUUAAUCUUCAACGAGGAAUGCCUAGUAAGCGUGAUUCAUCAAAUCGCGUUGAUUACGUCCCUGCCCUUUGUACACACCGCCCGUCGCUCCUACCGAUUGAAUGUGUUGGUGAGGAGCUCGGAUGGGCAGCAGUUGGUGGUUCGCCACCGGCUAUUGCUGAGAAGUCCUCCAAACCGCCCCAUUUAGAGGAAGGAGAAGUCGUAACA
rnacentral:rRNA from 1 species